UUAAUGGAGCCAAAAAAAAAAAAAUUAAUAGAGCCAAAAUGUAAAUCAUUACCAAGUAAACCCUUUCUCCUCAAAACACCUAAAACCUAAAACAAUUUGAACUGUUCUAGUCUUUCACCCAAUCCAUGCCCCAAUCUAAAUCCCUAACCUCUCAAUCUACAGCCCCGAUCUGUUUCCUUCUCCUUCCCGCCGUCGAUCAACCACCUUCUCGUUGUCAAUCAACCCCGAGCCCCAUUCUGUUGCAUUCUCGCGUUCGUUGAAUCUUGAGUUGUGACCAUUGUUCUCGCUGUCGCCCUAACCAUUGUAGCACCACAUCCAUCAUUCUCGUCGUUUUCGUGACCAUUCUCGCACCACGUCCACCGUUCUCGUCGUCACUGUGACCACCGUUCUCGCAUCACCGGUAAAUUUUGAAUUUCUGUAUUGUUUAUGUAUUUUUGCACAACCUGAACCCGAUGUUGCUUUUAAUUUUUGUUUUGUUAUUUCUGUGUUGUUCUUUGUAAUUUCUGUUUUGUAAUUUGUUUUGUAAUUUAUGUUCGGUUAUUUCUUUG
rnacentral:lncRNA from 1 species